UACGUAGGGGGCAAGCGUUGUCCGGAUUCAUUGGGCGUAAAGAGCUCGUAGGCGGUUCAGCAAGUCGGGUGUGAAACCUCCAGGCUCAACCUGGAGACGCCACCCGAUACUGCUGUGACUUGAGUCCGGUAGGGGACCACGGAAUUCCUGGUGUAGCGGUGAAAUGCGCAGAGUAUCAGGAGGAACACCGGUGGCGAAGGCGGUGGUCUGGGCCGAUAUUGACGCUGAGGAGCGAAAGCGUGGGGAGCGAACGGG
rnacentral:rRNA from 1 species